rnacentral:rRNA from 1 species
UACGGGGGGAGCAAGCGUUGUUCGGAUUUACUGGGCGUAAAGGGCGCGUAGGCGGCCACGACAAGUCACUUGUGAAAUCUCCGAGCUUAACUCGGAAAGGUCAACUGAUACUGUGCGGCUAGAGUGCAGAAGGGGCAACUGGAAUUCUUGGUGUAGCGGUGAAAUGCGUAGAUAUCAAGAGGAACACCUGCGGCGAAGGCGGGUUGCUGGGCUGACACUGACGCUGAGGCGCGAAAGCCAGGGGAGCAAACGGG